rnacentral:rRNA from 1 species
GACGAACGCUGGCGGCGUGCUUAACACAUGCAAGUCGAACGGAAAGGCCCUGCUUUUGUGGGGUGCUCGAGUGGCGAACGGGUGAGUAACACGUGAGUAUCCUGCCCUUGACUUUGGGAUAACUUCAGGAAACUGGGGCUAAUACCGGAUAGGAGCUCCUGCUGCAUGUGGGGGGUUGGAAAGUUUCGGCGGUUGGGGAUGGACUCGCGGCUUAUCAGCUUGUUGGUGGGGUAGUGGCUUACCAAGGCUUUGACGGGUAGCCGGCCUGAGAGGGUGACCGGCCACAUUGGGACUGAGAUACGGCCCAGACUCCUACGGGAGGCAGCAGUGGGGAAUAUUGCACAAUGGGCGGAAGCCUGAUGCAGCGACGCCGCGUGCGGGAUGACGGCCUUCGGGUUGUAAACCGCUUUCGCCUGUGACGAAGCGUGAGUGACGGUAAUGGGUAAAGAAGCACCGGCUAACUACGUG